GGUACAGAGUGGAGUGGCUCACUAUUGCUUCCAUGGAGGCAGGAGCCCAAGAACCUCAGCUCCUGGUCUGUUGCCACCACCAAAGAGCAGAGUACAGGAGGGUUUCUUUGGAGUUGCGAGCCAGUCAACAAGCCCCCCCCCCCCAUAAGCAUUUCCCUAGCUUCUACUCUGGGCUGGGUCCUCUGCUCAGAGGCACAAUCCCUACUCCAGGUGACCAUUUCAUUGGUCUUUUUUUCUCUUUGAAGAAGUGAAUAUAAGAAAUAAUUUUUUUUUAGAAAAGAGAAGAUCAAAAGGAAAAUACCAAAGCGCGUUUCCCAGACUGGCUGAGUUACACCUGCCUGGCUGACCCCACAGGGCCAAAGACUCUGAAGCAGAAAUAUUUCCUCUGAUGCAGGAGUCGCAGGACUGUGAAGGUGUAGCUGCCUUCUGAGAGGCCCCCAGACGUCAAAUUGCCAGAUUUGACACAUUGCAUCCCAACAGAGAACCAGGUGAUGACUUCUAAGGGCAUUGCCAGUUCCAGAAGCCUUCCCACGCACGUUGAUCGCUGAAAAUACAAGCAAUCAAGAGAAAUACAAAAAGCCAAUGGCAUGACCACUGCCGGUGUAACCAGCAAGCAAAGCUCUGCUAGCAAAAGCAAGUUUCAUUUUUUUCCCCUUUCCUAAG